GGAUGUAUAGUGCAGCUGUAGAGUGCAUGCUUUGCAUGCAAGAGGUCCUGGGUUCAAUCUCCAGUACCUCCA
rnacentral:tRNA from 1 species